UACAAACUGAAAGUUGGAAAUCAUGUGAAGUUGAGCAUUUCUUACCACACAAGCCACAGGCCAUGACUGCAGGAAUGGUUUGUUUGAUUAUUGGCCUAUCAAACAUUUUCCAGUCAUUUGAUGAUACCACCACUUGGGAUAGUAAGCUGCAAAUAUAGACUUGUACUCAGCACUUAUUGCCUUUGAGAAGUAAGGGAUCCUUUUGACACUGAAUCUCGGUGUAUGCGGUCUCAUUGGAGUAACCCGUCUGAAGCAUUUAGCAAUGGGAUUGGAACCUGUGAUGUGUGACUGUCAUCAGAGUACUGAAAUUUGAUUCCAUGCACGAUCAUGAUUUGCCAGAAGAGCAUCUGUUGGGGGAUGACAAGGAAUAAACAGCAUAAUGAAAUUGAAACAUUCAUGUGAAACAGUCUUAGUUUAUGAUAUUGACUUUAAAUAUUCAUAUUUAAAUUUUGAUUGGAGAAACAGA